UAUAAUUAUAAGAAUUCUCUAGAGGGUUAAACAUUCAUUCUUAUCUCUCUCUCUCUCUCUUCAGUUUCACUCCAGCAAUUAGAGUGCCAGGAGCGGCGCAAUCAGGCUCAAGGACGGACAACCAUACAAAAUUUGAAGAGGUUCUUUCGAAUUACAUCUUUUGAGGUAGGGUUUACUUUAAUCUGUUAAGGAGCCGACGAGCAAGGCAAGCACGGAUGAGCUCAUAUUCUCCUACUUAUACUAUUUUGUGUAAAUUAUAAUAUUUUGCUUUAUGUACUACUGGAAAAGUUUGUGGUGGGCUGUGACCCAAUGAUCUAGUAUUUGAAUAUGCGAGUAGUUGAGGGUUGUGACCCAAUGGUGACUAAUGGGCCGUGAUCCAAUAGUUGAUGUUUAUAUAUGUGCUAUGCUUUGUGUUAAAUGGCUACUUAGGCAUGCCUAUAUUUUGUUUGAAAUAUAUAUAUAGAGAAAGAGUUUUGUCUA